rnacentral:rRNA from 1 species
CUUUUCUCGUUAGUUUUUGAAGUAUGGCCUGCCCGCUGACUUUGGUGUUGAAGGGCCGCGGUAUUUUGACCGUGCAAAGGUAGCAUAGUCAUUAGUUCUUUAAUUGUGAUCUGGUAUGAAUGGCUUGACGAGGCAUGGGCUGUCUUAAUUUUGAAUUGUUUAUUGAAUUUGGUCUUUGAGUUAAAAUUCUUAGAUGUUUUUAUGGGACGAGAAGACCCUAUAGAGUUUAACAUUUGUUAUGGUCCUUUUUCUGUUUGUGAGGGUUCAUUGGGCCGUUUAAUAUGUUUUGUUGGGGUGAUGGGAGGGAAUUAAUUUAACCCCUCCUUUUUAAUAUUAUAUUUAUUUAUAUUUACUUGAUCCAUUUAUUUUGAUUGUAAGAUUAAAUUACC